UACAGAGGGUGCGAGCGUUAAUCGGAAUUACUGGGCGUAAAGAGCUCGUAGGCGGUCUGUCGCGUCGGAUGUGAAAAUCCAGGGCUCAACCCUGGACCUGCAUUCGAUACGGGCAGACUAGAGUUCGGCAGGGGAGACUGGAAUUCCUGGUGUAGCGGUGAAAUGCGCAGAUAUCAGGAGGAACACCGGUGGCGAAGGCGGGUCUCUGGGCCGAUACUGACGCUGAGGAGCGAAAGCGUGGGGAGCGAACAGG
rnacentral:rRNA from 1 species